GAUGAACGCUGGCGGCGUGCCUAAUACAUGCAAGUCGAGCGAACGGACGAGAAGCUUGCUUCUCUGAUGUUAGCGGCGGACGGGUGAGCAACACGUGGAUAACCUACCUAUAAGACUGGGAUAACUUCGGGAAACCGGAGCUAAUACCGGAUAAUAUUUUGAACCGCAUGGUUCAAAAGUGAAAGACGGUCUUGCUGUCACUUAUAGAUGGAUCCGCGCUGCAUUAGCUAGUUGGUAAGGUAACGGCUUACCAAGGCAACGAUGCAUAGCCGACCUGAGAGGGUGAUCGGCCACACUGGAACUAAGACACGGUCCAGACUCCUACGGGAGGCAGCAGUAGGGAAUCUUCCGCAAUGGGCGAAAGCCUGACGGAGUAACGCCGCGUGAGUGAUGAAGGUCUUCGGAUCGUAAAACUCUGUUAUUAGGGAAGAACAUAUGUGUAAGUAACUGUGCACAUCUUGACGGUACCUAAUCAGAAAGCCACGGCUAACUACGUG
rnacentral:rRNA from 1 species